GUGUGUUAGUCUCUGAGGAAGGUGGGUAAAGACUCCACAGUGCUGCUGAUCUGUGUCACAGUGUUCCUGUCGUAUCUCCCCGAGGCCGGACAGUAUUCCAGCUUCUUUCUCUAUCUGGGACAGGUCAUUAACUUCUCCUCAGAAGCGAUUGCAGCGUUUAUUGCGAUGGUGGGAAUCCUGUCCAUCAUAGCACAGACGGUACUGUUAAGCGUUCUGAUGAAGAAGAUUGGGAAUAAAAGCACAGUGCUGCUGGGACUGGGGUUUCAGUUGUUCCAGCUGGCUUGGUACGGCUUCGGGUCUGAACCGUGGAUGAUGUGGGGGGCUGGUGCUGUGGCUGCUGUGUCCAGCAUCACCUUUCCAGCCGUGAGCGCGCUGGUGUCUCGCUGCAC